GUCCCGUCCCGACCCGCCGCGGGCUCAGCAUCUCGCGGGUCCAGGCGGUACCGUCCCGCGCGGGCUGCGGUCCAGAGAAAGCCGGCCCAGUCCCGUACCGCAUAAUUUCACAGGCCCUUACAAGCCGUCCCGCGGGCUGGACGCGAAAGGAGUGCAGCAUGACGUUUCUCGACGCUGCAGGCUGCUCCAGUGACCACUACAUACCUAAGUGCACAUAAUGAAUGAUAUAUGAAC
rnacentral:lncRNA from 1 species